rnacentral:rRNA from 1 species
AUUGAACGCUGGCGGCAGGCUUAACACACGCAAGUCGAGCGGAGAUGAGGUGCUUGCACCUUAUCUUAGCGGCGGACGGGUGAGUAAUGCUUAGGAAUCUGCCAUUUAGUGGGGGACAACAUUCCGAAAGGAAUGCUAAUACCGCAUACGUCCUACGGGAGAAAGCAGGGGAUCUUCGGACCUUGCGCUAAAUGAUGAGCCUAAGUCGGAUUAGCUAGUUGGUGGGGUAAAGGCCUACCAAGGCGACGAUCUGUAGCGGGUCUGAGAGGAUGCUCCGCCACACUGGGACUGAGACACGGCCCAGACUCCUACGGGAGGCAGCAGUGGGGAAUAUUGGACAAUGGGCGGAAGCCUGAUCCAGCCAUGCCGCGUGUGUGAAGAAGGCCUUUUGGUUGUAAAGCACUUUAAGCGAGGAGGAGGCUACUAGUACUAAUACUACUGGAUAGUGGACGUUACUCGCAGAAUAAGCACCGGCUAACUCUGUGCCAGCCGCCGCAGUAA